rnacentral:rRNA from 1 species
UACAGAGGUCCCAAGCGUUGUUCGGAUUCAUUGGGCGUAAAGGGUGCGUAGGCGGCGCGGUAAGUCGGGUGUGAAAUCUCGGGGCUUAACUCCGGGCCUGCAGUGGGUACGGGCAGACUAGAGUGCGGUAGGGGAGACUGGAAUUCCUGGUGUAGCGGUGAAAGUGCGCAGAUAUCAGGAGGAACACCGGUGGCGAAGGCGGGUCUCUGGGCCGUAACUGACGCUGGAGGAGCGAAAGCGUGGGGAGCGAACAGG